rnacentral:misc_RNA from 1 species
UGGUAUUCCGGAGGGCAUGCCUGUUUGAGUGUCAUGUAGACUCAUCUAAUCAGAUUUUCUGACUAUGAUGGAUUUGGGGGGUUGCCUUUGUUGGCUCUCCUUAAAAGCAUUAUGCAGACGUAAUAAGUUUCGUCGUACGCAUAUCUACAUUAUAUUUGUACUCUGACCUCAAAUCAGGUAGGGCUACCCGCUGAACUUAA